rnacentral:piRNA from 1 species
UAUGAUGAUGAUAAUGAGAUGAGAGAUGCC